UCCUACGGGACGCACCAGUAGGGAAUCUUCGGCAAUGGACGGAAGUCUGACCGAGCAACGCCGCGUGAGUGAAGAAGGUUUUCGGAUCGUAAAGCUCUGUUGUAAGAGAAGAACGAGUGUGAGAGUGGAAAGUUCACACUGUGACGGUAUCUUACCAGAAAGGGACGGCUAACUACGUGCCAGCAGCCGCGGUAAUACGUAGGUCCCGAGCGUUGUCCGGAUUUAUUGGGCGUAAAGCGAGCGCAGGCGGUUUGAUAAGUCUGAAGUUAAAGGCUGUGGCUUAACCAUAGUACGCUUUGGAAACUGUUUAACUUGAGUGCAGAAGGGGAGAGUGGAAUUCCAUGUGUAGCGGUGAAAUGCGUAGAUAUAUGGAGGAACACCGGUGGCGAAAGCGGCUCUCUGGUCUGUGACUGACGCUGAGGCUCGAAAGCGUGGGUAGCAAACAGGAUUAGAUACCCUGGUAGUCCACGCCGUAAACGCUGAGUGCUAGGUGUUAGGCCCUUUCCGGGGCUUAGUGCCGCAGCUAACGCAUUAAGCACUCCGCCUGGGGAGUACGACCGCAAGGUUGAAACUCAAAGGAAUUGACGGGG
rnacentral:rRNA from 1 species